AUACGGAGGGUGCAAGCGUUAAUCGGAAUUACUGGGCGUAAAGCGCUCGUAGGCGGCUUGUUAAGUCGGAUGUGAAAGCCCCGGGCUCAACCUGGGAACUGCAUUCGAUACUGGCAAGCUAGAGUAUAGUAGAGGCAAGUGGAAUUCCGGGUGUAGCGGUGAAAUGCGUAGAUAUCCGGAGGAACAUCAGUGGCGAAGGCGACUUGCUGGACUAAUACUGACGCUGAGGAGCGAAAGCGUGGGGAGCAAACGGGAUUAGAAACCCUAGUAGUCC
rnacentral:rRNA from 1 species